CAAUCAUUCUCCUUAUCCAUAAUAUCACGCUAAGAACAGUAGAAUAAGCUAUGAAUUCCCCAGGUUUAAAGCUUAAACUCAUUCUAAAUAAGCUUUCACCGUUGCGUUUAGUCUUUUGUAAAAUGGUAGUAUAAAUUAUGCAAUGGCUGCCGAUCCUUUCUUCUUCGCCUCUCUUGAAGCUCGCUCCAUGAGUUUUCCCAGCUGCAACAACUCACUCUUCUGGCGCUUCCGCUUCCCUCCAUUGCAUUUUCACACACUUCGCUUCUCUCCUCCCAAACUUAAAUUCAAUCACCAGUUCGUCGUUUCCAAGUGCUCAAGUUCCGAUUCCGUUUCUGCUGAUGUAGAUAUCCUUUCAGCAACCGAGCAUUCUGAUGGCAGCGUUAUCUUCCGGUUUGGAAAUGCGAGUGAAAUGGCAAUAAUUGAAGAUCAAACGCAAACAACCGAUGAAAGUGCUAAGGUUGUUGCCAAAGAUGGUGGCAAAGAUUUGGACAAGGUAGAUAAGAGCAGUAUUAAAGCGGUUGGUGUUUCUGAUGGAGAUGCUGCAGCUGUAGAACCUAUGAAGAAGAAAGUUGGCCGUAAUUUUCAGGUUAAAUCUCAACCUAAGAGAAAACUAAGACGAAAUGCAACCAAAGUAACUGAAGUUGUUAAAGAGAAACCUGCCUCUGUUGUCAGUGAUGACAGAAUGGUUGAGAAAAAAUCAGUUGAUUCUUCUAAGAAUAUAAAUACUAAAGAUCAACCCGAUGAGCUUGGGGAUGUUGUAAAAGGAGAAAAUAAUGUUGUCCCCAAGGAAAAUGGUGAGUGCAUUAGUAAAACUGAGGGUUCUAGUAAAUUGAAUGUGGCAUUAGAUCAGGAAUUAGUUCAUCAUGUAGAAAUGGUUUCUACUCCAUUGACAGCUUCUGUUGUUGAAAGUGAAACUACUACUCUAUUAGGUUCUCCAGAGUUGGGUUCCGAAGUUGAAGUGCCCCAUGGUGUUAAGUUACAGGAGACAAAUAAGGGUGGUUCUGAAGGAAGUGGUGAGAAUGAUGGUAAAACUGAGGAUACUGCUCUGAAUAUGGUAUCAAAGAUGGAUUUAGCUCCUGAUAUAGAAAAGGUUUCUCCCCCACUGGGAGCUUCUGAUAUUGGAAGUGAAAUUACAACUGAAUUGGCUCCUUCAGAGUCUGGUUUGGAAAGUGAAGUUCCCCACAGUGUUAAGUUGGAAGAAGAAGAAAACGCUGGUGCUGAGGAAAAUGGUGAGGGGUUUGGUAAAAUUGAGUGUACUAUUUUGAAUACAGAGUCUAAGAUUGCUUUAGUUCUUGAUACAGAAAAGGCUUCGCUUCCACUUGAAGUUUCUGCUAUUGAAAGUGAAAUUACAACUGAAUUAGCUCCUUCAGAGUCCAGUUCCAAAAGUGAAGUUCCCCACGGUGUUAAGUUGGAAGAGGAUGAAAAUGCGGGUGCUGAGGAAAAAGGUGAGGGAAUUGGUAAAAUUGAGUGUACUAUUUUGAAUACAGAGUCUAAGAUGGCUUUAGUUCCUGAUACAGAAAAGGCUUCUCCUCCACUGGAAGCUUUUGCUAUUGAAAGUGAAAUUACAACUGAAUUAGCUCCUUCAGGGUCCAGUUCCAAAAGUAAAGUUCCCCAGAGUGUUAAGUUGGAAAAGGAAGAAAAUACUGGUGCUGAGGAAGAAGGUGAGGGAAUUGGCAAAAUUGAGUGUACUAUUUUGAAUACGGAGUCUAAGAUAGCUUUAGUUGCUGAUACAGAAAAGGCUUCUCCUCCACUGGAAGCUUCUGCCAUUGAAAGUGAAAUUACAACUGAAUUAGCUCCUUUUGAGUCCGGUUCCAAAAGUGAAGAUCCCCAGAGUGUUAAGUUGGAAGAGGAAGAAGACACUAGUGCUGAGGAAAAAGGUGAAAGGAUUGGUAAAUUUGAGUGUACUACUUCGAAUAUGGAGUCUAAGAUGGCUUUAGUUCCUGAUUUAGAAAAGGCUUCUCCUCCAUUGGAAGCUCCUGCUAGUGGAAGUGAAACUAGAACUGAAUUAGCUUCUUUAGAGCUUAGUUCCAAAAGCGAAGUUCCUCACAGUGUGAAGCUGGAGGAGGAAGAAAAUAGUGGUGCCGGGGAAAAUGGUGAGAGAAUUGGUAAAAUUGAAGGUAUUACUUUGAAUAUGGAACCUAAGAUGGACUUAGCAGUGGAAGAGGUUUGUGCUCAAGUAGCAGAUUCUGAAAAUAGCAUUGAAAGUGAAAUUGAAAUUCAAUCUACUUCUUUAGGAGCCUGCUUCAAUAUUGAAAUGCCUAAUAAUCUUGAGUUCCAGGAAAGCGGAAAGGAUGAUGCUGGUGAAGAAGUUGCUCAAAAAUCUGUGUCUUCCAAAGAACAUAGCAAUGAACAAAGCAUAAAUGCAUCAAAAAUGUUAGUGAUGAUAGAGGAUGCGACUGAAGGUGAAGUUGGUGAAAUUAAGUUGAACUCCACUUUAUCUGAGGUUGAGUCAAUUCUCAAUGAGGCUACAGUCCAUACAACAAUGAAUCAAUCUGUUGAUAGUGACAUAGUCAAGAGCUCAAAUAUGUUGGAUGAGGGUGUGGCUUUCUCAAUUUCCCAAGCAGAGAUAACUGAGGCUGAUGCACAAAGUGAUAACAAAGUCAGACAGCUGACAAUGCUUAAAGGUGUAGAGUUACAGUCUGGUGGAACUUUGGAAAGGGAGGAAAUCUCAACAGCAGGAUUUUUCUUAUAUUCUGGUGCUGCUCUGUUGCCAAAUCCGACUAAGGCCUUCGCAGGUGGAGAGGAUGCUUAUUUUAUUGCCUGCCAGAAUUGGCUAGGUGUUGCUGAUGGAGUUGGUCAGUGGUCAUUUGAAGGGAUUAGUGUUGGAGUAUAUGCAAAAGAACUUAUGGAAAACUGUGAAAGAAUUGUGUCUGAUAGAAAUGGAGUUCCAAUAACUGACCCAGUUGAGAUCCUUAAUAGAGCUGCAGCAAAUACUCAAUCUUGUGGUUCGUCUACGGUUUUGGUUGCUUACUUUGAUGAUCAGGCUCUCCAUGUGGCAAAUAUUGGUGAUUCAGGCUUCAUGAUCAUAAGAAACGGUGCUGUGUUUAAGAGGUCUUCUCCGAUGGUUUAUGAGUUGGCUUUUCCUGUACAGAUUGCAAGAGGAGAUCAACCCUCUGACUUUGUAGAGGUUUACAAAGUUGACUUGUAUGAAAAAGAUGUGAUUAUCACUGCAACUGAUGGACUUUUUGAUAAUCUUUACGAGCGAGAUAUAGUUUCAAUUGUCUCCAAAUCAUUGCAAGAGAGUUUAAGGCCCCAGGAAAUAGCAGAACUCUUGGCAACUAGAGCGCAAGAGGUUGGUCAGUUAUCAUUGGUGAGGAGCCCAUUCUCAGAUGAAGUGCAGGCAGCUGGGUAUGUGGGAUAUAGGGGCGGCAAGCUUGAUGAUGUUACUGUUAUUGUGUCAUUGGUGAAAAGGCGAUUCAGUAAUCAUGCACAAAGCUAAGACAGCCAUUCCUUGGGGGCCAUGGGCUGCCAUGGAUAUAUGUCGUCUAGCCUUCUGCUGAUAACACAAUAAUUGAACUUGAGUUGGCACUGCACCUAGGAAGAUAUUUUGACUUGGAUUAUCGACAUAGAGCUUGUUGGCCUGCGAAUAACAUGGAGAUCUUUGAGAAAUAAUACAAGGGAUGGAUGGGAGGCUAUAUAAAAUUUAGAUUUAAGUUUAUUUAUACCUUCGUACCUACCGUUUAUCCUGAAUCCUUUGAUAACCUUAUUUAAUGAUCAUUCGAUCAUAUCAUAUAUUUCAGCUUGAAAUUGGUGUAGUAUAACGAGUUGAAAAUAGCAAAUAAUACUCGGACAAAGAUGGCUCGAAUAUAGUAAUUUAAGAACCUGUAUUUUCCUCAUAACACAAUAGAAUUUGAUUAUGUUAUACCUAAUUGUUUGGACCAAGCAAUAAGCCUAUAAAUGGUGCGAAUAAUUUGUGACAUACAAUAUAUAUUAGAAACAUAAUUUGUACCAGGAGACACAUAUUUUAAUGUAUUAUUUUUACUACUC